rnacentral:misc_RNA from 1 species
GAUGAAGAACGUAGCGAAAUGCGAUAAAUAAUGUGAAUUGCAGAAUUCAGUGAAUCAUCGAGUCUUUGAACGCACAUUUCGCCCCCUGGCAUUCCGGGGGGCACGCCUGUUCGAGCGUCAUUCCAACCCAUCAAGCACGGCUUGGUCUUGGGCGCUGCCGGCCGGCAUGCCCCAAAAUCGUUGGCGGAGCAGGGUCCCCGAGCGUGACGCACUCACCGCCUCGGUGCCCCUGCCCGGCCUCACCCACAACCAGAGUUGACCUCGGAUCAGGCGGGGAUACCCGCUGAACUUAAGCAUAUCAAUAAGCGGAGGA